UCCCUGGCAGCUUGCUGUCGGGGUGAGAGUGGCGAACGGGUGAGUAAUGCGUGACCAACCUGCCCUGUGCACCGGAAUAGCUCCUGGAAACGGGUGGUAAUACCGGAUGCUCCGCUCCAUCGCAUGGUGGGGUGGGAAAUGCUUUUGCGGCAUGGGAUGGGGUCGCGUCCUAUCAGCUUGUUGGCGGGGUGAUGGCCCACCAAGGCGUUGACGGGUAGCCGGCCUGAGAGGGUGACCGGCCACAUUGGGACUGAGAUACGGCCCAGACUCC
rnacentral:rRNA from 1 species